AAUAGAUACCCCGGUAGUCCAUGCCGUAAACGUUGGGCGCUAGAUGUGGGGACCAUUCCACGGUUUCCGUGUCGCAGCUAACGCAUUAAGCGCCCCGCCUGGGGAGUACGGCCGCAAGGCUAAAACUCAAAGGAAUUGACGGGGGCCCGCACAAGCGGCGGAGCAUGCGGAUUAAUUCGAUGCAACGCGAAGAACCUUACCAAGGCUUGACAUAUACGAGAACGCUCUAGAAAUAGAGAACUCUUUGGACACUCGUAUACAGGUGGUGCAUGGUUGUCGUCAGCUCGUGUCGUGAGAUGUUGGGUUAAGUCCCGCAACGAGCGCAACCCUCGUUCUAUGUUGCCAGCGGUUCGGCCGGGAACUCAUAGGAGACUGCCGGGGUCAACUCGGAGGAAGGUGGGGAUGACGUCAAAUCAUCAUGCCCCUUAUGUCUUGGGCUUCACGCAUGCUACAAUGGCCGGUACAAAGGGCUGCAAUACCGUAAGGUGGAGCGAAUCCCAAAAGCCGGUCUCAGUUCGGAUUGAGGU
rnacentral:rRNA from 1 species